UACGAAGGGGGGCUAGCGUUGCUCGGAAUUACUGGGCGUAAAGCGCACGUAGGCGGUCUUUUAAGUCGGGGGUGAAAUCCUGGAGCUCAACUCCAGAACUGCCUUCGAUACUGGAAGACUUGAGUCCGGGAGAGGUGAGUGGAACUGCGAGUGUAGAGGUGAAAUUCGUAGAUAUUCGCAAGAACACCAGUGGCGAAGGCGGCUCACUGGCCCGGUACUGACGCUGAGGCACGAAAGCGUGGGGAGCAAACAGGG
rnacentral:rRNA from 1 species